UACCUCCCGAACCCCUCUCACACGAUCUUCAAUCUCCUCCAGAACCCCUCUCACACAAACCUCAUCUCACGCCCUCUCCAUCCAAAUCCUCUCCGACGAACCCCUCCGCGAACCUCUCCUCCGAACUCCUCUUCGCCGAACAAACCUCAUCUCACGCCCUCUUCCUCGACGAGCCCACCACCGGGCUCGACAACGCCGUCGCCUUCUUCAUGGUGGAGACGCUGAAGCACAUCGUGGUGGACAAAUGCACCGGCACGCAACAAAAUGCAAGGCCUGUGACAAGACUGCCUACCUCGUGGAUCAGCUCACCGUCGACGAAAUCGUCUUCCAUAAGUCCUGCUUAAGUGCAAUCAUUGCAAAGGAACCCUCACGGUGUUUUGUAUUGCAAGCCUCACUUUGAACAACUCUUCAAGGAAUCUGACAACUUCCACAAGAAUUUUCAGUCAUCUGCAAAAUCUGUUGAUAAAGCUCUAGAACUGGUGUCUGAGAUGUAUUUUUUGAGCCCUAAAUUUUACUACAAGAAGGACUACCUUAUGGUGCUGUUGUCAUUUUUUAAACAGAAACAAGCCAUUUAUAAAUUAGUCAAGUGCUAAAGGAAGAUGAGACUAGAGGUGACUCCUAACAAUGAGACUCUUAACUUUGCCCAUCUAUGCAUUCGCCAAGUGUGACCAUCUCCCUGGUGGAAGAGAGGUACAUUUGCAAUGCCAUCAAAACUAGACAGAUUGACUCAGUUCUGCGUGUCACUCUCGUCGAUUUCUAUACUAAAUGUGGUGAAUUGAAAUCAGCAGUCAUGUUGCAUGAUAAAUGCCAAGUGAAGAGCAGCACCAUUGGAGCAUCAUGAUGUGGGGCCUUAUUCAGAAUGGUGAGUUCUUGGAAGCUGUCAACGUGUUUGAAAGAAUGCAAAAGUCUGUAAUUAAGCCUUGUAAGGAUGCUCUAAGGGCCUUAGUUGCUGCAUAUACUAACUUGGGAGCUUUGUUGUUGGGUAGAGGAGUUCAUAAUCUUAUGUAGGCUGUGAUUGUGUAAAUAGAAUUUUUUUUUGUAAAUAUUAUAGUUUUUGUAAA